GCGAUGUUGACGCUGUCACCUAGUCGCCUGGUUCCCACAGCCUCCUGACUUUUAUUUUUCUUUUUCCUUUUUAUUUCCCUUCCAGUGGAGUAUAUUCUAAACGAACUUGUGAAUGUAAAAAGAAGGUGUCUGUUGAGAAGCAACUGAACCGUCCAGCUGCCCCACGCUGCCGCUGGGUCGCUCUGCACAUCCGCGCGCGCUUCUGAGGAGAAAAACAGCGAGCAACUAAAAAGGGGACAAGACGCGUCCUUGUUUUUCGUGAAUAUUUCGCCCAGUCCUCGUUUGGUGCGCUCUGGUGAGACGUGGAGCUAUUUGAAGCUUUCUGUUUUUCGGGAUAUAUAACAUUAGAAUGCUAGCAUCCGUAACAUUUGGAGUAAAGUGUCUAACUUAAGGUGACCAUUACGCUCGAGCGUCGACGUUUGUUGGAACGCGUAAAUGGACGAAUACCAGGAGGACUGAUUCGGAAUUGUUAUCUGGAAAAAUGUGGCUGAAACGGUGUGUCACAUGCAGCAGGCCAAGGGCUCACACUUAAACUACUGCCCAGAUCAGUGCCCAGCCGGCAGCCACACCCUCUGCCUAGUCGGGACACACUCACUGGCCAGCACUCGAGGACUCGUGUCUUGCAUCGUGGUGUUCCCCCUCCCUUGCCAUCACUAGGCAAUCAUGGGGAGCUGGGGGGCACCAAACUGUGGGGGCGGAGAAACCGCAGGUCACUCCAAAAACGACAACUUUGUACGGAGUGCCAAUUGACCCCCUCUGACAAAGGGAAGUCGGUUGCAUUACCAGAGAGGAGUAAAUCUGAUAUAAAUCUGCAUUUAUCUCGCUCACGGAGGCAGCUGAAAGGGGACGGCUAUGACUCCCUGGAGGGGAGGACCACCACAGUGGCAGGAUUUAUUGACUGGGGCCCUACAGGGGCCGACGAGGUGCUUGAGGAGGAGGCGAAGGUGACCCCGAAUGCCACUGUCACCUCUUUAGCCCCUUCCACCACCACAGUUACCGUAACUAGCACUACCACACGCAGCCCCCAAAGGACUUAUGCGGUGAUUACAACUGCACAUCCUAAGAGGCACAGCACCACACAGCCAAGCAACUCCAGAGUGACUGCCAAACCACCGAAACCUUUUGGGGACACACCAGGUAGGACAUAAAUCUGAAUGGCGACUGUUUCUUCAUGUAGCUUUUGUUUUCUAAUCUGUUUAAGGUACUUAAUCAGCUUAUGUUUGAUCACAUUUAAAAUUCAGAGGCAACGAAACACAUAAAGAUAUUUUUAGGGGCCGUCAGGCGGUUUAAGGUCAUUCAUGAACAUAGUGCAGAGGCCUUUGGGUCUCAAACCACAAUGCAGUGCAUCAAAAACACUGUGUGGGUUCUUUGAAAAACUGAGGGUGGAAAAUACUCACAAAGCUGUAAUUGGCACACAACUUCUCAGCAAUUUACAGCAAAGAAAGUGGUUGAAUUGUCGAAGGGUCAGGAGCGUGCAUCUAGCUAGUUUUUUUUUGGUGAAAAUAUUGGCUUACUCUUAAAAUUUUGCUGUGAAAAACAUCAGCUGCUGUAUAGUUAUGGAAAAUAAGCAAAUAUGGAGAAAAUAACAAUGUACUAGUGUUGAAAGUUUGUCAUAUUAGUUAAUAGGCUAUUUUGAAAGUUUUGUGCAAAAGUGGAAAUGUGUCACUUUUGCUUUUUGUGGCUUAAAGUUUCUUAAGCAGGCCAAAGAAUACAGUGUUGUACAUACAUGAUGUG
rnacentral:lncRNA from 1 species